AUUCAGCCCCCGCCUCCGAUGCUGCGUGCUGUUCCGCGCGGUCGUCCGAGUCUCGUGUUCCGACGAGGAGGCCACAGUUUUCAAAUUGUCUUGACAAAAUGAUAGACUUUCGCAUGAAUUCGGGGAGUGCCGACGCCGACAAUGGGGGAUACAGCAACACCAAUAUACCGGUCACCUCGCAACAGGGUUUGGCUUCGCUCAGCCCAUAUUUGAAUUUUGACCCAUCAUACCUUCCCGUCAGUCAACCGGAAUUUAUAUUUCCCGACGGCGCCGUGAAGCAGAGGGGCCGCUUCGAGUUAGCUUUCAGUCAAAUUGGAGCUGCGUGCAUAGCGGGGGCAGGGAUCGGCGGCGCGUCGGGUUUGUACAGAGGCAUCAAGGCAACGUCUAUCGCUGGCGAGACAGGCAAACUCAGGAGAACACAAUUGAUCAAUUAUGUUAUGAAGGGUGGUGCCAGUAUGGCAAAUUCGCUCGGUGUGAUAAUGAUAAUGUAUACCUGCGCUGGAAUAGGUCUGACUUGGUUAAGAGGAACCGACGACAGUUUGAAUACAGUAGCUGCAGCUGCCACGAGCGCUACGAUAUUUAGAUCGCCUGCCGGGAUCAGGAAAGCUGGUAUCGCCGGUGCUGUCGCGGCAGGAGUUGCAGUGAUGUACUGUGCUUGGAAUAACGGAGGCUUACCGUUGCAUCGUGUGAAUAGAUGGAAACAUGCGGCGUAAGAAGAAAUCUCCCUUGUCUCCAAUUCAUUCAGUACGGCGCUUUUGCAAACAAAUUGUUUUCCAACAUGAACUGAGGCCAAGCUUCUAUUUUUGCAAGUUAUAACAAAUUGACCUCCAUAAAAGACCUCAUAAAAGAUCUCCGAUGCGUUUUCAUACCUUCACGUUACAUUGUACAUAGAAAAACUUAUCGACGCAAAUAAAUUAUUAAAGGAAU